rnacentral:lncRNA from 1 species
ACCAUGUGCAUGUAUCUGACUAUGUGUCCUGUGCAGGACUGCCUCGCACAACGUAGAUUCAAACCAUGUGCCAUGCACAGAACUGGCCUGCAUGAUGAAGCCGGAUGCCGUGUGUGGAUAGAAAGUCAUGGAAUGGGUGGUAAAGUCAUGGAGAGGCAGUCGAUUUAACUUUUUUCAUUUAAAAUAUUAUUCUAAAUAAUAAAAUAUAAUAAUAAUGGAGGAGUAGAUUUGGCAUUUUCAUCCGGCACA